rnacentral:rRNA from 1 species
GUGGGUACUAGGUGUGGGGUCCAUUCCACGGGUUCCGUGCCGUAGCUAACGCUUUAAGUACCCCGCCUGGGGAGUACGGCCGCAAGGCUAAAACUCAAAGGAAUUGACGGGGCCCCGCACAAGCGGCGGAGCAUGCGGAUUAAUUCGAUGCAACGCGUAGAACCUUACCUGGGUUUGACAUGGAUCGGGAGUGCUCAGAGAUGGGUGUGCCUCUUUUGGGGUCGGUUCACAGGUGGUGCAUGGCUGUCGUCAGCUCGUGUCGUGAGAUGUUGGGUUAAGUCCCGCAACGAGCGCAACCCUUGUUCACUGUUGCCAGCACGUUAUGGUGGGGACCCAGUGGAGACCGCCGGGGUCAACUCGGAGGAAGGUGGGGAUGACGUCAAGUCAUCAUGCCCCUUAUGUCCAGGGCUUCACGCAUGCUACAAUGGCUGGUACAGAGAGUGGCGAGCCUGUGAGGGUGAGCGAAUCUCGGAAAGCCGGUCUCAGUUCGGAUUGGGGUCUGCAACUCGACCUCAUGAAGUCGGAGUCGCUAGUAAUCGCAGAUCAGCAACGCUGCGGUGAAUACGUUCCCGGGGCUUGUACACACCGCCCGUCAAGUCAUGAAAGUUGGUAACACCCGAAGCCGGUGGCCUAACCGUUGUGGGGGAGCCGUCGAAGGUGGGACUGGUGAUUAGG